AGGACCUAUAUGUAUGUAUAUAUUAUUUCCUUGGUAACCUAUGUGAUUGUAUAUUCACACAUUUUCUUUGACUGAUGUGUAGUGCAACCAACUUAUCUUGUUGAUUGAUAAAGUACCAUGGUUGAUUGGUGGAGAAGGUGUGCGGACAGAACUGAGUUUACCAAAUGUAGAAAAAACAAUUGGCUCAGUUUCAGAGCUUACAGAAGAUGAAGCUGAAGAUCGCUUGCAAGAUGCUAUUCAUGAAAAGUUUGUUGUUUUUGGGGAUGUAUGUGCUUUUGAUGAUAACUUGUUCAUGUUGCACAAAACUGAUUACUUAUAAAUGUAAUUUUUGUCUUUCUAAUAUGUAAAUUUGGUUUAUUUUUUUAUUGUUGAAUGUUGUUGGUGUAAUAAAUUUAUAAAAUUAUUGAAUAAAAAAGUUUAUAAGUUUAUUUCUUUUA